rnacentral:rRNA from 1 species
UGGGGAAUUUUGCACAAUGGGCGCAAGCCUGAUGCAGCGACGCCGCGUGAGGGAUGAAGGCCUUCGGGUUGUAAACCUUUUUCGCUCAUGGUCAAGCCGCAGCUUUGGGUUGUGGUGAGGGUAGUGGGUAAAGAAGCGCCGGCUAACUACGUGCCAGCAGCCGCGGUAAUACGUAGGGCGCGAGCGUUGUCCGGAAUUAUUGGGCGUAAAGGGCUUGUAGGCGGUUGGCCGCGUCUGCCGUGAAAUCCUCUGGCUUAACUGGGGGCGUGCGGUGGGUACGGGUUGGCUUGAGGGCGGUAGGGGAGACUGGGAUUCCUGGGGUGGCGGGGGAAUGCGGAGAUAUCAGGGGGAACACCGGUGGCGAAGGCGGGUCUCUGGGCCGUUACUGACGCUGGGGAGCGAAAGCGUGGGUAGCAAACAGG